AGAGUUUGAUCAUGGCUCAGGACGAACGCUGGCGGCGUGCUUAACACAUGCAAGUCGAGCGAGGCCCACUCUUCGGGGUGGUGCCCUAGCGGCGAACGGGUGAGUAACACGUGGGCAACCUGCCCUCAGCUUUGGGAUAAGCCUCGGAAACGGGGUCUAAUACCGGAUAUGACCACGUACUGCAUGGUGUGUGGUGGAAAGAUUUAUCGGCUGGGGAUGGGCCCGCGGCCUAUCAGCUUGUUGGUGGGGUGAUGGCCUACCAAGGCGACGACGGGUAGCCGGCCUGAGAGGGCGACCGGCCACACUGGGACUGAGACACGGCCCAGACUCCUACGGGAGGCAGCAGUGGGGAAUAUUGCACAAUGGGCGAAAGCCUGAUGCAGCGACGCCGCGUGAGGGAUGACGGCCUUCGGGUUGUAAACCUCUUUCAGCAGGGACGAAGCGAGAGUGACGGUACCUGCAGAAGAAGCACCGGCCAACUACGUGCCAGCAGCCGCGGUAAUACGUAGGGUGCAAGCGUUGUCCGGAAUUAUUGGGCGUAAAGAGCUCGUAGGCGGUUUGUCACGUCGGCUGUGAAACCCUGGGGCUCAACCCCGGGCCUGCAGCCGAUACGGGCUGACUAGAAUUCGGUAGGGGAGUCUGGAAUUCCUGGUGUAGCGGUGAAAUGCGCGAUAUCAGGAGGAACACCGGUGGCGAAGGCGGGACUCUGGGCCGAUAUUGACGCUGAGGAGCGAAAGCGUGGGGAGCGAACAGGAUUAGAUACCCUAGUAGUCC
rnacentral:rRNA from 1 species